rnacentral:ncRNA from 2 species
CUCUUAUCCAGAGCGCGUGAGGGAACUGGCCCGAUCAAACGCGCAGCAACCCGCCUUCAUUCCGGCGUGGUGCUCACCAGCCCGCUUCACGCCAACGAUGGCGCAACGACGGGAAUGAUAAGAG